rnacentral:rRNA from 1 species
UACGGAGGGGGCUAGCGUUGUUCGGAAUUACUGGGCGUAAAGCGUACGUAGGCGGCUUUGUAAGUUAGAGGUGAAAGCCCGGGGCUCAACUCCGGAAUUGCCUUUAAAACUGCAUCGCUAGAGUUGUGGAGAGGUAAGUGGAAUUCCGAGUGUAGAGGUGAAAUUCGUAGAUAUUCGGAAGAACACCAGUGGCGAAGGCGACUUACUGGACACAUACUGACGCUGAGGUGCGAAAGCGUGGGGAGCAAACAGG